GCAAGUAUGUUCUUAUUAAGAGCACAGAUAAAUCAGACUUGGUUCUUCGACUGUUCAGAGCUCAUGGGUUUACUAAAUCUCAAAUUGCUACCUUAAUUUCAAAUAACCCACAACUUAUUCUCGCCGAUCCAAAAAAAACCCUUGAACCCAAGAUUGAAUUUUUUGAGUCACUGGGUAUUGCAGGGCCUGACCUGCGGCAGAUACUAUGUAUAAAUACAAGUAUUUUAGUGACUAGUUUAAAGAGACGGAUUUUGCCCUCUUUUGAUUUCCUUAGGGGGUUGUUUGAGACCGAUGAGAAUGUUAUUCUUGCCUUGAAGCGAUCCCCUCAUAUCCUUACCUGUGGUUCUGAGGUGAUGUUGUCUAAUAUAUGGACUUUGCGAUCUCAUGGUGUGCCAGAACCCAGUAUUAGGAGGUUAAUAGUAACUUGGCCUGGAUCAAUAAAACUUAGUGUUGAUUUUUUUGAAGAAAAAGUUCGAGAAGUUAAGGAAAUGGGGUUUGAACCAACGGCAAAGUCCUUUAUAUAUGCUUUCUAUUCAAUGUCCUCAAUGAGCAAAUCCAAGUGGG
rnacentral:misc_RNA from 1 species